rnacentral:rRNA from 1 species
GACAGAGGUGCCAAGCGUUAGGCGGAAUCACUGGGCUUAAAGCGUGUGUAGGCGGAAUUGUAAGUACCUUGCGAAAUCCCACAGCUCAACUGUGGAACUGCUCGGUAUACUGCUUUUCUUGAGCCACUUAGGGGCUACCGGAACAAAUGGUGGAGCGGUGAAAUGCGUAGAUAUCAUUUGGAACGCCAAUGGUGAAAACAGGUAGCUGGGAGUGUGCUGACGCUGAGACACGAAAGCGUGGGUAGCAAACAGG